GGGAAUAGCUCAGUUGGUAGAGCGCAACCUUGCCAAGGUUGAGGUCGCGAGUUCGAGUCUCGUUUCCC
rnacentral:tRNA from 1 species